GUGCUUGCUUCGGCAGCACAUAUGCUAAAAUUGGAACGAUACAGAGAAGAUUAGCAUGGCUCCUGCACAAGAAUGACAUGCAAAUUCGUGAAGUGUUUCAUAUUUUU
ensembl:snRNA Gm25937 predicted gene, 25937